rnacentral:lncRNA from 1 species
GAGCUUUUUUAAAUAUAUUCCCUACUAGUAUGAGCAAUCCAGCGUUCCAGUUUGUUUUUGGUCUUUUCUGUAUUCGCUAUUUUAAUUAGUCAUACUAGAUAUGUUUAAAAAAAUAAUUAAAUCUUAGUGUGUGAGCCAUUUUGGAUUAGAGCACAUAGUUUGCAUUUCGAUUGGGUUGUAAAUUAUCAUGUUAAUAACUAAUAAUCAAAUCAAUAUGUAUGUAUAUUACAAUCAUUGUUGAUGCCAUAUUAAUUGGUGUACAAACUAUGCAUAGAGUUUAAAAUAUUAUAGUUACACUAUAUAUUAUUACAUUACAUGGCUGCACGUGCGCACUAUAUUGUAUCUAGAGUAAUUCUUUUAUUUAUUUAUAUUAAAAUGUCCUUAAUAAUAAAUGACAUAAUGGGUUUUUUUUGUAAAUCUUUAUAGUAUUAUGAGUACCUUAAAUUUUUUUUUUAAAAUGUAAAUAACCCCAGCCAAAUAAGUGUUAAGAUGAACUAAAAUGUCAAUUCCCUUUUUAUUUAAUCCAAAGGUUCUUUGCUUCUUGACCUUUGGUCAAGUAGUUAGAACCCCGCUCUCAUAAUUGUGAAGGAAUGAGUUAGAGUCUCCACAAAGUAUCAUGUAUUUAAUUUCUUUUCUCAAUUAUAAAUGAGUUGCAAUCUAAAUAAUAGUCUCAUAUAAUUAAAAAAAUUCAAAAUCGACUUUUGAGAUUUUAUUAUUAAGAUUGCGUAUUAAAAAUCUAUUAAGAACUGUAGCGAUAAAAGUAAGUUUUACGAGGGAUUUAAGUGUUCUACUGUUCUUAUCUAUUUAUUUAGAAAAAUGAUAAAAGAACUCAAUGAAGACAAAGGGACGACAGAAACGCAAGUUUGAAUUGCCGUUUCACUCGUUUCAAGCGUUGAUUUCUGCUUUUUUUAAUAUUGCAUGGACCCACAAGAAAUAAAAAAAAAUGAGUUUGCUUCGUUUUACUCCCCCUUUUACACACACUCCCUAACCACUUAUUUUACUCUCCCUCCAUUGAGUUUGCUUCAUUACCAGACAUGAGUUUGCUUCGUUUUACUCCCCCUUUUACACACUCCCCAACCACUCAUUUUACUCCCCCUCCAUUGAGUUUGCUUCAUUACCUCUUGUUUCUUGCAACUCUUCAAAUGCAUGCUCAUUUUCCAAAUACUCAAUUUCUACAAAAUAAUUAACAUUUGUAUUAAGAAACUUAUAUAACAUUUUGUCCAGUAACGAAAAUUCCUAACAAUUUAAAUAUAUAAAAAACAUUCACAAAUUUUUAUAAUUUAUUCCAUUAUCUCCAACAAUUUAAAUUAUAAAAUCCUAA